rnacentral:rRNA from 1 species
AACGAACGCUGGCGGCAGGCCUAACACAUGCAAGUCGAACGCAUCGCAAGAUGAGUGGCGCACGGGUGAGUAACACGUGGGAAUGUAUCCUUUGGUUCGGAAUAACGUUUGGAAACGAACGCUAAUACCGGAGGAGCCCUACGGGGGAAAGAUUUAUCGCCAAAGGAGCAGCCCGCGUCUGAUUAGGUAGUUGGUGGGGUAAUGGCCUACCAAGCCGACGAUCAGUAGCUGGUCUGAGAGGAUGAUCAGCCACACUGGGACUGAGACACGGCCCAGACUCCUACGGGAGGCAGCAGUGGGGAAUAUUGGACAAUGGGCGCAAGCCUGAUCCAGCCAUGCCGCGUGAGUGAUGAAGGCCUUCGGGUUGUAAAGCUCUUUCGCACACGACGAUGAUGACGGUAGUGUGAGAAGAAGCCCCGGCUAACUUCGUGCCAGCAGCCGCCGUAACAC